UUCCAAGUGGCUCAGUGGUAAAGAAAUCUGCCUGCAAUGCAGGAAACCCGGGUUCGAUCACCUGGUUGGGAAG
rnacentral:tRNA from 1 species